rnacentral:rRNA from 1 species
CAGAAACUCAAAUGAAUUGACGGGGCCGCACAAGCGGUGGAGCAUGUGGUUAAUUCGAAGCAACGCGAAGAACCUUACCAGGCCUUGACAUGCAGAGAACUUUCCAGAGAUGGAUUGGUGCCUUCGGGAACUCUGACACAGGUGCUGCAUGGCUGUCGUCAGCUCGUGUCGUGAGAUGUUGGGUUAAGUCCCGUAACGAGCGCAACCCUUGUCCUUAGUUACCAGCACGUUAUGGUGGGCACUCUAAGGAGACUGCCGGUGACAAACCGGAGGAAGGUGGGGAUGACGUCAAGUCAUCAUGGCCCUUGCGGCCUGGGCUACACACGUGCUACAAUGGUCGGUACAAAGGGUUGCCAAGCCGCGAGGUGGAGCUAAUCCCAUAAAACCGAUCGUAGUCCGGAUCGCAGUCUGCAACUCGACUGCGUGAAGUCGGAAUCGCUAGUAAUCGUGAAUCAGAAUGUCACGGUGAAUACGUUCCCGGGCCUU